GAUGAACGCUGGCGGCGUGCCUAAUACAUGCAAGUCGAGCGAAUGGAUUAAGAGCUUGCUCUUAUGAAGUUAGCGGCGGACGGGUGAGUAACACGUGGGUAACCUGCCCAUAAGACUGGGAUAACUCCGGGAAACCGGGGCUAAUACCGGAUAACAUUUUGAACCGCAUGGUUCGAAAUUGAAAGGCGGCUUCGGCUGUCACUUAUGGAUGGACACGCGUCGCAUUAGCUAGUUGGUGAGGUAACGGCUCACCAAGGCAACGAUGCGUAGCCGCCCUGGGAGGGUGAUCGGCCACACUGGGACUGGGACACGGCCCAGACUCCUACGGGAGGCAGCAGUAGGAAAUCUUCCGCAAUGGACGAAAGUCUGACGGAGCAACGCCGCGUGAGUGAUGAAGGCUUUCGGGUCGUAAAACUCUGUUGUUAGGGAAGAACAAGUGCUAGUUGAAUAAGCUGGCACCUUGACGGUACCUAACCAGAAAGCCACGGCUAACUACGUGCCAGCCGCCGCGGUAA
rnacentral:rRNA from 1 species